CAGCAGCCACGGGAAUACGGAGGAUCCAAGCGUUAUCCGGAUUUAUUGGGUUUAAAGGGUGCGUAGGCGGCCUAUUAAGUCAGGGGUGAAAGACGGUAGCUCAACUAUCGCAGUGCCUUUGAUACUGAUGGGCUUGAAUGUACUUGAGGUAGGCGGAAUGUGACAAGUAGCGGUGAAAUGCAUAGAUAUGUCACAGAACACCAAUUGCGAAGGCAGCUUACUAAAGUAUGAUUGACGCUGAGGCACGAAAGCGUGGGGAUCAAACAGGAUUAGAUACCCGCGUAGUCCCUGUCUCUUAUAC
rnacentral:rRNA from 1 species